GGGGUCGACCGGUUUUGACAGCAAGUCGAAUUGGGAAGUAAGCACGCCGAGAACCGGGACAGUUUCUCGUUAAUCCAAAGUCCCAACACUUUUACACGGCGAAAAUAACUACGCUCUUGCUGCUUAAUCUGAAUCAUAGUAAGAUGAGCCUCGCUCCUACAAGGUAGGAAAGCAGGAUUCUCCUUGGAAGCCUUGGUUUGUGGCGGCCAGCAAAGGGGAACCGUAAAAAUAAACCUAGGGAUGGUUUUGCUCCGCGGCCAUCCUGACAACUCAGGAGCUAAGCGCAUGGUGGCCGUUCCCGGCCUUGCUUUGUGACGAAAAUCCAAUCGGGAACUACGCGUGUAGAAAGCUUUGCAGUUGCUUGUUUGGACGGGAGUUCGAUUCUCCCCGACUCCACAU
rnacentral:tmRNA from 1 species